GACUGCAUGGUGGUGCAGUUGGUAGCACCGUUAUCUGUCAGCAAGAAGGUCCUGGGUUCGACUCCCGAAGUGGGGUCU